rnacentral:rRNA from 1 species
AACGAACGCUGGCGGCAUGCCUAACACAUGCAAGUCGAACGAGACCUUCGGGUCUAGUGGCGCACGGGUGCGUAACGCGUGGGAACCUGCCCUUAGGUUCGGAAUAACUCCCCGAAAGGGGUGCUAAUACCGGAUAAUGUCUUCGGACCAAAGAUUUAUCGCCAUUGGAUGGGCCCGCGUGGGAUUAGCUAGUUGGUAGGGGAAAAGCCUCCCAAGGCGACGCUCCAUAGCUGGUCUGAGAGGAUGAUCCGCCACACUGGGACUGAGACACGGCCCAGACUCCUACGCGAGGCCGCAGUGGGGAAUAUUGGACAAUGGGCGCAAGCCUGAUCCCGCCAUGCCGCGUGAGUGCUUAAGGCCUUAGAGUUGUAAAGCUCUUUUACCCGGGAUGAUAAUGACAGUACCGGGAGAAUAAGCUCCGGCUAACUCCGUG